UACAGAGGUCUCAAGCGUUGUUCGGAUUCAUUGGGCGUAAAGGGUGCGUAGGUGGCGCCGUAAGUCGGGUGUGAAAUUUCGGAGCUUAACUCCGAAACUGCAUUCGAUACUGCGGUGCUUGAGGACUGGAGAGGAGACUGGAAUUCAUGGUGUAGCAGUGAAAUGCGUAGAGAUCAUGAGGAAGACCAGUGGCGAAGGCGGGUCUCUGGACAGUUCCUGACACUGAGGCACGAAGGCCAGGGGAGCAAACGUG
rnacentral:rRNA from 1 species